rnacentral:misc_RNA from 1 species
UUUCCGUAGGUGAACCUGCGGAAGGAUCAUUAAUGAGUUGUCAUGGGGUUCGAUGCUGGCAGCCAGUUUUUGGAUGCAUGUGCUUGCCCUAACAAUCAUCUUCUUCCAAACACCUGUGCACAUUCUUGAGGGAGUCUUGAGUUGGUUGCCGCUCUUGGGUGAUUUUCUCACAUUCCCUUAAAUCAUUAUACGCUAUUAACAAUGUUGAACGUGCUCUGUGCCGCAAGGCCAUUAAUAUAAUACAACUUUUAACAACGGAUCUCUUGGCUCUC